GAGCACGUAGGUGGGUUUGUAAGUCAGAUGUGAAAGCCUUCUGUUCAACGGAAGAAUUGCAUCUGAAACUGCGAGUCUUGAGUGUAGGAGGGGAGAAUGGAACUUCUGGUGGAGCGGUGAAAUGCGUAGAUAUCAGAAGGAACUCCGGCGGCGAAAGCGAUUCUCUGGCCUAUUGCUGACACUCAGUGUGCGAAAGCUAGGGGAGCAAACGGGAUUAGAUACCCCGGUAGUCCUAGCCGUAAACGAUGGGCACUAAGUAGAGGGGUUUU
rnacentral:rRNA from 1 species